AACGUGCUCGGCGCGCAGCUGGCCGGCCGGCCAGCCCAACGCCGCCAGAGCGCUCGCCGCGGGCGGACCCCGGAGCUGCUCCGCUUUGUUCCCGGCUCGCCUCCACUUCCCCGCCGGCGCCGGCCGGCUCCCGAGCGACCCUCACCUGCGAUCACGCCGACUGCCACUUGUCCACCUUCUCCACUACAAAGGCAACGAGGGGAGACCCCGUCCUCCCAGGGGACCGCCUCUCUCCGGCCCCGCCGCGCCCCUGGCUGCCGCUUCUCCCGCUGCCACUGCCCGACUCCGCGCGGGGAAUUGCGUCCCACCGCCACUUCCCCGCCUCUCGGAGCUCCUGGGAAGUUUCUGAUCUACUUUCGGCUCUGAAGGAGGAAGAGCUGUUGGGAGGAGCUUUUCACUCCUCGCUUCUACCUUUUUAUUGGCUACUCGAUGACUUUUACAGCCUGUCACUGAUACAGGAAGAGACAGCGGAGAGCCUGGGAGAACUACAUUAUUAAUUAAUGGAGCAACCCCUCGUGAAGAUUCAGAAGCAUCCUCCAUGUUUGAGAUUAUCAGCCAAAAGAUCUAGGGAAAGCGCUGGGGGUUCAUAAACACAUGGCUAACAAAGUAAAGCCUUCAAGUCUGGCACAGACUCUUGACUACACGAUGGGAAAAGGGAUUCCAAUUACGAUUUAACUUGUAUUUUAAAGAUGAGAAAAGAAAUGAAUAAGAAAAUUUGUUGCUAUUUUUCUUCUUCCAAAUUAGAAUCUAUAUCUCUAAAAAUACUUUGCAUGUUUAGUAAACAUCCAUCUUGAACAGAAGAUACCUUGACAUCAGUUCUAUUUAAUACUUAUGGCAAUUAAGAGAUUUAGAAAGCAGAGGAAAAGACCAAAAAAAAAGUAUGUGUUACAAAGUGUCAUCAUGCUUGUAGGACCCCAGCAUUCUUGAAACUAACGCACCUUUAAAAAGUAAUAUUUACACUGCUGUAAAUAUUUGCAAAGUAUCAAUGUUUAAUUCACUUAGAAUUUUAAGGAUUAUGGAUUUACUAGCGAAAAUUCCCCUAAAGCAACUUUCCCAUAUCAGUAACUUUUAUUUAGGGAAACAAGUUUAAUGUACAUAAUACAUGUGACCUUGGAAUUCAAUAGAAUUUUCGAAACUAGAAGUAACUCAGAACGUUCACUAGAUGUGUUUUAAAGUCUUUUUUGAUACUGUCCUUAACAUUUGCUUAUUUGCAAAUUAAUAUGUAAGAAUGAGUCUAAAAGUAAGUUUUAGGAAUGGUUAUUCGACAAAGAUGUUAUUCCUAUUACCAAUACUGCGAAAUGAUAAUUACAGAAACAAUGUGGGAUCCGUUUUAUAACUUCAAAUUUAAGUUCCUUUGUACUUUGGAGCAGAAAAUGUAAGAAAUCGAAAUCAAGAGUUAGUAUUUUUUAUCUUUCAGGCUGGCUUUAACUGUUCAUACACCUAGCAAAAUAAACAUUUGUGAAAGGCGUUAUUCUUUGGGUGUUUUAAAUUUCAUUAAUACUAUGAAUGCACCUUACUGUACAGAAGUCACAGAAGUUUGGAAAUGCUCCUGUAAGUAGUAAGUAUAUACUUUAGUAUCGGUUAACUCUUCAAAUAAGAGUUUACAGAUUUAAUUUUUUUUUUUUUUUUGAGACAGAGUCUCACUCUGUCCCCCAGGCUGGAGUGCGGUGGCACGAUCUCGGCUCACUGCAACCUCUACCUCCUGAGUUCAAGCGAUUCUCCUGCCUCAGCCUCCCAAGUAGCUGGGAUUACAGGCGCACACCACCACGUCCAGCUAAUUUUUGUAUUUUCAGUAGAGACGGGGUUUCACCAUGUUGGCCAGGGUGGUCUCAAACUCCCGAUCUCAGGUGAUCCGCCAGCCUUGGCCUCCCAAAGUGCUGGGAUUACAGGCGUGAGCUACCGCGCCCGGCCAAGAUUUGGUGUUUUAAACCUGUCUCCAACUAGUAUACUGAGUGACAAGUUAGAAUUCCCUGCCUAGAAAGUAUUUAUUGGGCCGGGCGCGGUGGCUCAUGCCUGUAAUCCCAACACUUUGGGAGGCCAAGGCGGCCGGAUCAUGAGGUUAGGAGGUUGAGACCAUGCUGGCCAACAUGGUGAAACCCUGUCUCCACUAAAAGUAAAAAAUUAGCUGGGCAUGGCGCUGGGUGCCUGUAAUCCCAGCUGCUCGGGAGGCUGAGGCAGGAGGCGGAGGUUGUCCUGAGCCGAGAUGGCGCCACUGCGCUCCAGCCUGGGCGACAGAGACUCCGUCUCAAAAAAAAAAAAAAAAAAAAAAAAAAAAAAAAAGUAUUUAUUGAUCUACCAGGUGAAAAAUUUAGAGCCCACAAAGGUAAACUCAAAAGGGGGAUUGGGAAAAUGGAUAAUUUUCAAGCUAUAUUGAAGCAUCACCCUCACAACUCAAAAUCCCAAUUUAACAAUUAAGCUAAAUAAAGAUGAAAUUCUUUCUGAAUACGUCAGUAUUUAUAUUUAUUAGAUCUUACUGUUCAAUAAGUCAUUCAAAUCAUGAUCAAAAGUCGUUAUUUUAUUAUUAAAUACAAAUAUUUAAGUUGGGUUUUUUCUUAUACUAGCUUAAAAUUUUAUUCUAUUCCAUCAAAAGCUAUCAUGCUCAGUUUUCUCACGAUCAUACUCAAAUUUCAAUACUAUCAUAACUUAUUUCUCUGAAUUAUAUACAUAUGGUUUAUUUUAAUGAUUUGUGGCAUUUAAUGAAUGUUAUACAGUUGUUCAUUGUUAUUUCAGAACAAUGUAAGUUUAGAAAAUUAUAAUUAAAAUGUUCAAAAGUUUAGUUUUAAUGUGUUUAUAAUACUCAAAUGAAUAGACUACCUAAACUGCCUCAUGAAAUAACAUUUAAAGUAUUCUACACAUUCACAACUAAAAGCUUACCUAAUUUAUGAUCUAUUUCUGUAUUUUGGUAUCAUGAUUUCUUCCCUGCUUUGUUAAUUACUACUUCUUGGCUUUUGAGAAUAAAAAGCUCAUUGCUGUAUUCAGAAAGUAGUUAAAGGAUACUGUCAUAACAUAGGACUUUGUGUAAAAAAUUUUUUUGGAAAUAUUGUCAAGGAAACAAAGCUAAAGUGGCACAAAAAAAGAGAAGGCAAUGAUAUUAAAAUUAUUUAAUUUUUAACAAUUUAAACAUUUGUCAAGCUCCUUUUGUGUGCCAAGACACUGUACUAGCUCAUGUAAGGGAUACAAUGUAAAUAAAUGUAUCCUGGCUUCAAAAAAUGUAUAAUCUUAUAGGAAAGAGACAAUGCAAAUACAACCAAUACAAGAAUUAUGUGAAUCCUGAUGAUCACGAGUAAUAUAAUGCAAAAAGAGAAGUAGAAAAUAUUAGAAUAAAAUGUAGAAGGAAGACCCCAGGAUCAGUCCUAAAUGAAGUCAUCUACAGGGCAUGAUUUGAAGGGCAACAGAGAACUCAUGCUCCAACAUAUCCUCGCCAGUCUCAAGCGACAACCCCAUCAAUCUCCAUUAGUCGUCCUUCAGCAUGAAGACACGUAAAAUGGGAAUAUUCUAGUUAGGCAGAACAUAUAUUAAUCUAAUACUAUCAAGACAUAGUUUGAUUAAAAUAUCAAUUUUGAGACACAUACUGCCUUAGAAGUAAAGACAAAACAAGACUAUGGGCCAGGCGAAGUGACUCACACCUGUAAUGCCAGCACUUUGGGAGGCCAAGGCAGGUGGAUGAGGUCAGGAGUUCAAGACCAGCCUGACCAACAUGGUGAAACCCUGUCUCUACUAAAAAUACAAAAUUAGCUGGGCAUGGUGGCACACGCCUGUAAUUCCAGCUACUUGGGAGGCUGAGGCAGGAGAAUCACUUGAACCCAGGAGGCAGAGGUUGCAGUGAGCCAAGAUCAUGCCAUUGCACUCCGGUUUGAGCAACAAGAGCAAAAUUCCAUCAAAGAAAAAAAAAAGACUGGAAUUUUAAGUUUUAUUAUUUAUUUAUUUUUGAGACAGUCUCUUACCCUGUUGCCCAGGCUGGGGUGCAGUGGCACGAUCUCAGCUCAUGCAACCUCUGCCUCCUGAUGCAACCUCUGCCUCCUGCGUUCAAGUGAUUCUCCUGCCUCAGCCUCCCGAGUAGCCGGGAUUACAGGUGCCUGCCACCAUACCCAGCUAAUUUUUGUAUUUUAGGUAGAGACGGGGUUUCCCCAUGUUGGCCAGGCUGGUCUCGAACUCCUGACUUCAGGUGAUCCACUCGCCUUGGCCUCCCAAAGUGCUGGGAUUACAGGCAUGAGCCACCGCACCUGGCCCGGAAU
rnacentral:lncRNA from 1 species